AGACUGUGAGGGCAAUCUGGCUGUGACAUCUGUCACCCCAUUGAUUGCCAGGUUUGGUUCAGCUGAUCUGGCUAGCUGGGGCGGGUGUCUUGUUCCUCCUUCCCCACUCGAAGUGUGUUCCUUCUGAAGCUGUGCACUCAGUCAAAGAUGAAGACCUUCUCCAUUAGAGGAGAACUGCUCUUCAGUCAAGGGUAUAUGAGCCACUACAUCCUCUGCUAGAACCUCCAAACAACUCUCAAGGUCCAUUUGUAGGAGAAAUAGGGUAGCCAUGCCUCAAAGACUCCAGACACAUCCAAAUGAGGUGCUUCAUAUGUCAGUCUGCUUUUCCUU
rnacentral:snRNA from 1 species